rnacentral:tRNA from 1 species
UACUUCCAUCGGAUAUUGUUAAACUUGAAAAACUUAAGGUUUUUCGUUUGGAAAUGAAUCGAAUCAAGGGUGAAAUUCCCUCAGAAGUAG